UUUUGAUAUUGGAGGUCACGUAAAAAAUUACGGUAUUAGUUUUAAAAAUUAGGCUUUUGGUAGGGCCUCAUUCAUUUACAAGAACGGGG